GAAAUUUACUCUUUUAGUAUUUGUCUAGUAGGCUUUCUUUAAAAGAAAGCUCCU
rnacentral:snRNA from 1 species